AUUAAUCAUCCAUAAUUCAUCAAGCAAAAUGUUCCUAGAAAAUAAUUUGCACUAAUGUAAAUGUAAUGUUAUCAAUAACAGAACCGGAAAAGAUCAGAUCUCUACAUUCGACAGUGCUCGGUUUGGGAACGGCUUUGGGUUUGUGCGCACUUCUGAUUUUCUGUCUCAUUUAUUUCAUACUCAGGAGAAGAAAAUGUGAUAAAAUGAAAGCUUGUAUAGAAGAUUCUCCAGGAAUGAAGCAGGGAUCUGAAGCUGAAACACUGAAUUACGCAGCUGUGCAAUUUACCAAGAGGAAAGCCAAAGCUGAAAAAAAGAAAACUGGCUCAGCAGAACAGUGUGCGUACGCUGAUGUGAAAAAAACUGUAAGAUGUAACAGAAAUAAUUCAUAACACAUGAUAGGCAAAUGUAAUCCAUAUUUUUCAUUACCAUGAUAUGAUAUAUGAUGCGCCAAGAAAAAAAACAAACAAAAAAAAAAACACAAAACAUAACAGAAAAACCUAGAAAUAAUUUUAUAUUUUUACACUAAUCUCAUAAUAAUAAUUAUAUUAAAGUUGCCUGUCUUUAAGAUAUUGUUUUAUUUGCAGUGUGGAUAAACUUCUAUGCUACAGGUUUUAUUUCUGUGCACACGUGUGAAGUAACUACGGAUGUAUUAACUUCAGUAACGCUGAACUUGUAAAA